rnacentral:rRNA from 1 species
CAGCCGCCGCGAGAAUACGUAGGGUGCGAGCGUUAAUCGGAUUUACUGGGCGUAAAGGGCGCGUAGGCGGACUGAUAAGUCAGGGGUGAAAUCCCAAGGCUCAACCUUGGAACUGCCUUUGAUACUGUUUGUCUUGAGUUCGAGAGAGGUAAGUGGAACUGCGAGUGUAGAGGUGAAAUUCGUAGAUAUUCGCAAGAACACCAGUGGCGAAGGCGGCUUACUGGCUCGAAACUGACGCUGAGGCGCGAAAGCGUGGGGAGCAAACAGGAUUAGAGACCCCCGUAGUCCCUGUCUCUUAUAC